AUGGGGAGGUCCGGCGACGCGUGGAAAGAGCUGCUGCAGCAGGGCACGGAGGACGACGGCUACCAGCGCAGGUGCUCGAGGAGAGGGAGCUGCUCGGCGGCGCUUGAUUCCGGCGGGAUCGAGGGAGGAGCGGGUGGCAGCCUCUGCGCGCGCGGCUGUGCAGGCACCAGGAGGAGGAGACGGAUGGCAGCAGCCUGCUGGGGCGCCGGCGGCAGCCUCGGGAAGGAGAAGGGCAGUGCUUGGCGCGACGGAGGAGGAAGGAGGCAGACAAAGGAGAUGGGGGAUUGGGCACGGGGAAAGAAGGGGAGCGAGGCUCCUGGCGGCGCUGGUGGAAACGAGAGGGAGAGAACGAGGGGACCGAACGGGCUAGGUUUAGGUAGUGAGGGUGCCGGUUGGGCCCAUGGUGGGCCGAGGGGAGCAGGGUGGCCUGGCUGGCCGGCCCAGAGGAGAGGGAGGCUGCUGGGCUCUCCACUCCCUCUCUCAUAUUACUUUAGCAGAAAAGACCAAAAAAGAGAGGAAAAGAAAGAGAGGUUUAGGAAAAGAUUUUGGACAAGGGGAUAA
rnacentral:rRNA from 1 species